CAUAGGAAUCUGCCCGGUAGUGGGGGAUAACUUGAGGAAACUCAAGCUAAUACCGCAUACGCCCUACGGGGGAAAGCAGGGGCUCUUCGGACCUUGCGCUAUCGGAUGAGCUUAUGUCGGAUUAGCUGGUUGGUGAGGUAACGGCUCACCAAGGCGACGAUCCGUAGCUGGUCUGAGAGGAUGAUCAGCCACAUCGGGACUGAGACACGGCCCGAACUCCUACGGGAGGCAGCAGUGGGGAAUAUUGGACAAUGGGGGCAACCCUGAUCCAGCCAUGCCGCGUGUGUGAAGAAGGCCCUCGGGUUGUAAAGCACUUUCAGCGAGGAAGAAUGCUUGUCGGUUAAUACCCGGCAAGGGAGACAUCACUCGCAGAAGAAGCACCGGCUAACUCCGUGCCAGCAGCCGCGGUAAUACGGAGGGUGCGAGCGUUAAUCGGAAUUACUGGGCGUAAAGCGUGCGUAGGCGGCUUGAUAAGCCGGUUGUGAAAGCCCCGGGCUCAACCUGGGAACGGCAUCCGGAACUGUUAGGCUAGA
rnacentral:rRNA from 1 species